UUAAAAUAGACUCUUUAUAUAAACAGUAAAGCAUCGCAAGAAAAAACAGAAUAGCUAUCCAUUUUUUUUUCUUGGGCAAUAAACUUAAGAUUUUAACAAGGAUGGCUGGUGAAGCGACUGUCUUAAGAUUAGUGUACAUCAUAACGAACACUUAACGAACACGGGAACAACGUCACUUUAAGGCUAUAGUGAACACUGCAUGAAGGCUAUAGUGGCACAGGAUUUCUCUUCCCUUUAAAUGAGGUCAAAUGUCCCUAACAAUAUGAGAAAAGAAAUGUCAAGGAAAUUUACAUAUGAAUAGGUUGAAACUGCAAAAAUGUCAAGGAAAUUUACAUAUGAAUACAAAGGAUAUAUUAUAAAAGAAUACACGACUGGAAAAAUGCUAAAAAUGAUCAGUAUAGUUUGACAUAGCGCUAGAUGUGAAUGUUCCAGUUAAAUUUAAUAUGAGGAAAAAUUGUCAAGGAAAUUUA